UACGUAGGAGGCGAGCGUUGUCCGGAGUUACUGGGCGUAAAGGGUGCGCAGGCGGCGGUUCGCGUGGCGAGAUGAAAUCUCCUGGCUUACCUGGGAGGUGGUCGCCAGGCGGGAUCGCUUGAGGGUCGGAGAGGGGCGUGGAAUUCCGGGUGGAGCGGUGAAAUGCGUAGAGAUCCGGAGGAACACCGACGGCGUAGGCAGCUCGACAAA
rnacentral:rRNA from 1 species